rnacentral:rRNA from 1 species
GGGCAGUGCGGGGUGCUAUACAUGCAGUCGAGCGGACAGAAGGGAGCUUGCUCCCGGAUGUUAGCGGCGGACGGGUGAGUAACACGUGGGUAACCUGCCUGUAAGACUGGGAUAACUCCGGGAAACCGGAGCUAAUACCGGAUAGUUCCUUGAACCGCAUGGUUCAAGGAUGAAAGACGGUUUCGGCUGUCACUUACAGAUGGACCCGCGGCGCAUUAGCUAGUUGGUGAGGUAACGGCUCACCAAGGCGACGAUGCGUAGCCGACCUGAGAGGGUGAUCGGCCACACUGGGACUGAGACACGGCCCAGACUCCUACGGGAGGCAGCAGUAGGGAAUCUUCCGCAAUGGACGAAAGUCUGACGGAGCAACGCCGCGUGAGUGAUGAAGGUUUUCGGAUCGUAAAGCUCUGUUGUUAGGGAAGAACAAGUGCAAGAGUAACUGCUUGCACCUUGACGGUACCUAACCAGAAGGCCGCGGCUAACUACCUGCCAGCAUCUCGCAGUAAUACGUAGGUGGC